AACGAACGCUGGCGGCAUGCCUAACACAUGCAAGUCGAACGAGACCUUCGGGUCUAGUGGCGCACGGGUGCGUAACGCGUGGGAAUCUGCCCUUGGGUUCGGAAUAACUUCGGGAAACUGAAGCUAAUACCGGAUGAUGACGUAAGUCCAAAGAUUUAUCGCCCAAGGAUGAGCCCGCGUAGGAUUAGCUAGUUGGUGAGGUAAAGGCUCACCAAGGCGACGAUCCUUAGCUGGUCUGAGAGGAUGAUCAGCCACACUGGGACUGAGACACGGCCCAGACUCCUACGGGAGGCAGCAGUGGGGGAAUAUUGGACAAUGGGCGGAAAGACCUGAUCCAGCAAUGCCGCGUGAGUGAUGAA
rnacentral:rRNA from 1 species